rnacentral:tRNA from 1 species
UCCCUGCUGGCUCAGAUGGUAAAGAAUCUGCCUGCAGUGCAAAAGACCUGGGUUCGAUCCCCGGGUCGGGAA